CCUAAAUUUGACUAUAAUUUACCUUGCGCCGCUCCACUCUCUUUCCCUCUUCCUUUUCGGCUUUCUUUCGUUGUAACAGAAACCUCCGUUUCUCUCUAAAUUCUCAGCCUCCACAUACCUCAAAAGGAGAAUCUAAGAUCAGAUCUAGGUUUCUCUCAUCAUCCUCUCCUUCGUAACCGAUUGAAAUCGCAAAAUGAUUGAGAUUUUGAAAUAUGGUUUCGUGUUGUCAGUGUGGGUCGCGGAAAAGAAACUCAUCGGUGGUGAUUUACCAGCGAAGUAGUGAAAAAUGAACUCAAGUCAAAAGUUUGUUUUCAGGACGUUCAGGGGAAUAUUCAAUCUCCAAUGAUUCUUGUUGAUCUUUUUGUUGCUGCUUUAUGAUAGUAUCUGGUCUUGGUUUGGAGAUGCUGGUGGUGGCUGGUGGAUUAUUAUGCUUGUGUGACCUUGUGUUGUUUGACAUUGGCUAAUAGAGAUGCAAACAGAACUAUAACAAUGUGCAAGAGCUACUUCAACAAGUGAGGAGGAACAACCUUUCAUGGGACACUUGCAUUUUGUUUUUAUGUAAAUAUUUUAGUGAUAAUAUUUGUAGAGCUCAUUAUUUACUUGACUUGGAAAUAGUUAUAUAUUAAUGUAAUUUUGUAACAUUUGAAUGAAAUAAUUUUUAUGAGGCUCA